ensembl:lncRNA
GGCCAAAUCCCCACCGCAGUGCAGUGAACCCUCCUCCCCCGGCUCCCAGCACCACCGCAACAACCAUCGUGCUGAAGCAGCUGCCUUUCCCCAUCAGCGAGGUCUUGCCACAAUAUGGAAGGUCCACAGCUCUUCACUUUACGGGGAUUUUAGGCUCAUCUUUACCCCGAAAGCCAGGUGACACCGCACAGUGCUGUGCCGACGUGCUUGGUUGGGUUCACCCAUGUGGCACCGCUGAGAGCUCCCAGAUGGAUACCGCAGCCUUCCCUCGAGGUAGCUGCGUUUCAGCAGCAGAUCACGCUGAAGUAGCUACAGUGGGAACGUGUGAUGAGGAUGUCGCAAGAGGACACGGAGCCCUGAACCCACAACCGGGGGGAGGAAGCCGCCCCGAGCAGAGGCACGGCCACGAGGGACGGUACCGCGGUGGCAUCGGAACGGCGGCUCCGAGCAGGCAAGAGAUGCCAGCCGGUUGCAAACCGCAGCCAAGCAGCUCGGGGUCGAUGCGGGGAAG